GAUGAACGCUAGCGGCAGGCCUAACACAUGCAAGUCGAGGGAGAAGCCCUUUCGGGGGCAGAAACCGGCGCACGGGUGCGUAACGCGUAUGCAACCUACCUUUCACAGGGGGAUAGCCCGAAGAAAUUUGGAUUAAUACCCCAUAAUAUUAUUGGAUGGCAUCAUUUGAUAAUUAAAACUGCGGUGGUGAAAGAUGGGCAUGCGUCCUAUUAGCUAGUUGGAGUGGUAACGGCACCCCAAGGCUACGAUAGGUAGGGGUCCUGAGAGGGAGAUCCCCCACACUGGUACUGAGACAGGGACCAGACUCAUACGGGAGGCAGCAGUGAGGAAUAUUGGUAAAUGGUCGGAAGACUGAACCAGCCAUGCCGCGUGCAGGAAGAAUGCCUUAUGGGUUGUAAACUGCUUUUAUAUGGGAAGAAUAAGGCGUACGUGUACGUUGAUGACGGUACCAUAUGAAUAAGCAUCGGCUAACUCCGUG
rnacentral:rRNA from 1 species